AUACAGCUGACGAGUCCCAAAUAGGACGAAAUGGCCGUCCAGUGC
rnacentral:hammerhead_ribozyme from 1 species